rnacentral:lncRNA from 1 species
GUCCGGACUCAAAGUUAGGCCAGGAAAGGAAGGUGGCUCAGCCUCAGCCAGCCAAGCGCACCAAUCCAAACAGGGAUCAUUUUAUACAAAGUGCUAGCCCCCAACAGCCUGAUUACCGUUUCUCUUAGAGUUCAACAUGGUAGAUGGUCUUUUUUUCUUUUUUAACUGCAGUUCUUUUUUCCUUGGAAGUUACUUGAAAAAAGAAUAAAAAGCUUAUUUUGUUGUUGAUAGGUUAAUUGAACUUGUUCUAAGUCUUUUAGUGUCUAUAAAAACAAGUGAGCGGACAGUUUCAGUUAUGAUAAUUGUGUUUGCCAUGGCAUAUUUAAGCUAAUAAACACUUUUGGUUAUUCAAUUUGUUGAAAUAAAAUUAUCAUAACCACCGGGCUUUAUAUGAUGGCUAAAGAGUUAUUGCCGGAACUUGAGAUCUCAUAGUAAUUUACUUUAUAACUAUUUGUCUACCUUACUGUUAAAAAAAAUUAUCAUAGAGUUAUAAUAAAUCUAAAUUUUAACACUUUGAAGUUGCAAGCCGUUUGACAGUGACUUCGUAUUUGCUAGUGAAACUUUUGUGGGGUGAAGCAAGCUAUGGGUAUUCAAUAAUUAGAUAACUUUAGGAAGAUCAUGAAUUCGGGACAAUGAACCUUAUACUAAUAUAUGGCUGCUGCUGCUGCUGCAUGGGACUGGCCACCAGCCAACUAAAUUUUGGAGGAAUCUAACAAAACGGGAAGAAUGUUCAGUACAUGGUGCAGUAAACAAUGGCACAAUCAAUGACUUUUAGGUAUGAACUUGAUUGGCUGGACAUUUCUAUUUCCUUAACC